AGCGAAAUUUAGUAGCGAAGUAGCUGAUUUCACACUGUCAAGAAAAGUCUCUAUCGAGGUUAAAGGUACCCGUACCGCAAAACUGCACAGGUGGGUGAGGAGAGUAUCCUAAGGCCAGCGAGAGAACUGUUGGUAAGGAACUCGGCAAAAUGACCCCGUAACUUAGGGAGAAGGGGUGCCACCAUCAGGUGGCAGCAGAGAAUAGGCCCAAGCGACUGUUUACCAAAAACAUAUGUUUCUGCUAAGUCGCAAGACGAUGUAUAGGAGCUGACGCCUGCCCGGUGCUGGAAGGUUAAGGGGCUCUGUUAGUGCAAUCGAAGCAGUGAACUUAAGCCCCAGUAAACGGCGGCCGUAACUAUAACGGUCCUAAGGUAGCGAAAUUCCUUGUCGGGUAAGUUCCGACCCGCACGAAAGGCGUAACGAUUUGGGCACUGUCUCAACAACAGACUCGGUGAAAUUGUAAUUCCGGUGAAGAUGCCGGAUACCUGCGACAGGACGGAAAGACCCCAUGGAGCUUUACUGUAGCUUGACAUUGGGUCUUGGUACUACAUGUACAGGAUAGGU
rnacentral:rRNA from 1 species